ACAUAAAAGCGAGACGGACCGGUUUGAUCGGCCACUUCCUCCUCUCUUCGGCUCGAGAUGAGCUCGAGACCUCCAGGAACCGCUCGCUGCAAAGGUGUGAGAAGAAUAUGGGGAACUCUACACCAGGUGUUCAUGGCUGAUCAAAGAUGAUGAAGAAUGAAGGACUUUGGUUAUUCUGCACUGUCGACUCUGAACAAUGGUUCUUCACUGUCGACUCCCUGAACCUGCAGAGUGAACAAUGGUUGGUGUUUUACCAUUGUCUGAGGAAGGACGUCACCUGGAAGCCGUCAUAGCCUUGGAUGAAAUUCACUGAGUCAUGAUGAUUCAUUGGCUGCUUUGACAUGAUGAUUAUGGUGGUCUCGUUGAAGGUGCCUGGCUUUGGAAGAUGCUGCCAUCAUCAACCACGGUCUUUGUCCAGCCAUUAGGACGGAGCUGCCUGACGAGCAUCAAUCACUCUGAAUGCAAGAUGUCCACGUCAACUUCUACCUGGAACUGAGUAUGAAGACUUUGACUUGAUUGGUGCCGCUGUCUAUCAGGUGUCGUACGGUUUGGGAACCGCAGAGACACUACAACUGCUGCAGGUUUGGUGUCAACCUCUUCAAUGUGGGGAACGGGACACCUGGGACUGCUGCAGGAUUGGUGCCGCGGUCUAUCAGGUGUCGUACGGUUUGGGAACCGCAGAGACGCUCCAACCGCUGCAGAGUCCAGCUGGAUCUACUACUGCCAACUGCUUGGGGGCUUAUGUUUCCGGCCAGAACUUUGACGCCUUCAUAGGAGUCGGUCAUCUCGUGCUGCAGGAGAUGUGAUUUUGUUUGUGCGUUGGAAUUGGGGAAGAAAAUUCUAAUAAAAAUUUGUUUUCAAGA